CUUGAAAGACUCGGACUUUGUUAGCCACUCACCAGACCGUUAACGCUGGCGUUUCUCCCGUAGCUCCGGCUCCGCCGUGAAUACCGAGACAGUUGUCGAGUUCCUGGAAAAUGUCCCCCUGCUGCAGAGGUUACACAUUUCAACUCUGAAGCGAAUCGCUGAAGUUGUCGUGCUCAAGCGUUACGGUCGGUAAUCUCUAGUCUCUACGAUUCUGAAUUUCGAUAUUUUGUUUUUCCCGAUUCACGGCGAUUUGUGUCUGAUCGAGUAUUGAAUUUCUUCCCUGGCCUGCCUCGUAUUUUAGUUUUACACUGGGUAGCAUUUCUCGAUACUAUCACAUUCCUCAGCCAUGUUGUGUAGCAGGAAAAGGGGAGUAAGUGUGUUGUUCACGAAGAUCAAACUUGGGAUGGAGUUUAUUUCAUAUUGGUAGGACAGGUUUGUCUGAAUUUGUUUAUGUCGUGCAUUUAGCAAGGUCAAAAGGAAUAUACAGGACUGAAAUGGAGGACUUUCUAGGUUUGUCCAAAGAUUUAAUCUUUGCUCAAAGGGUGGGCAAUGGAUUAUUGUACGAUUACUAAUGGAUUGGAGAAAAUUGGAAAAUAUGAGCACCUUUAUUCAUCCAGAAACUAGACAAAUGGUGUUCACUUGUACAUAGAAAAACA